rnacentral:lncRNA from 1 species
GUUGUGAGCUGCCUUUGAAGGGAGCUGUGUGGCAAAAAGCCAAGAGUGGCCUCUAGGAGCUGACAGCCAGCAAGGGAACAGGGACCUUGGUGACACAGCCAGAAGGAAACUUGGAAGUGGAUCCCUUCCCCAUUGAGCCUCCAGAUGAGAAUACAGCCAGUUGACACCUUGACUGCAGGCUUGUGAGAUCCUGAGAUGAAGACCCAGAUAACAUGUGGCAUAUACUUUUGACUGCAGAAAUCGUGAGGAUGCUGCUGUUCCACUUCGGUCUUUUGCAGCUCCUGGACAGCCUUUAUGCAGUCACUUGUGUGCUCUGG